rnacentral:rRNA from 1 species
UACGUAGGGUGCAAGCGUUGUCCGGAAUUAUUGGGCGUAAAGAGCUCGUAGGCGGCUUGUCGCGUCGGCUGUGAAAACCUGGGGCUCAACCCCGGGCCUGCAGCCGAUACGGGCAAGCUAGAAUUCGGUAGGGGAGACUGGAAUUCUCGGUGUAGCGGUGAAAUGCGUAGAUAUCGAGAGGAACACCUGCGGCGAAGGCGGGUUGCUGGGCUGACACUGACGCUGAUGCGCGAAAGCCAGGGGAGCGAACGGG